rnacentral:lncRNA from 1 species
ACAAUGGCCAGAGCCCCGGACUGUGGUCCCGUGCCCUGCCAAGCUUCAGAGAGCGGGUCUACCACGCAUUCAUAGUGCAUACCGAACCAGAGCUGCUCGGCCAGGUAGAGCUGGAGAGCAGUCGGGCGCGAAUGACCCCGGGGUACGGGGGGAUACCGAGCUGGGGGGUCUCGGUUAGGGUGUCCUGCGGCCUGGCGCGCGCGUGAGCUGCGCACCUGCGACUUCGUGCUCCUUGCGGACGAAGGAUCACCUUUCUGUCUGGCCGGCUCUGCUCUUUUGGCACCAGAGCCCCGGGCUCCCAGUGGGAACGCCUCCGCCUCCCCGCCCGUGGACCACCCGCCCGAGGAAGCGCACUCACCACAGUCACUGAAGAAGCCAGAGGCUGGCGGCACAGGCAGCCGCACUGGGCGCGCGGGACUACAUUUCCCACAAGACCAUGAGCCCUCGACAGGGCUUCCAGUUGCGCAGGCGCAACCGCAGGGCUGCGGGCCAGCGAUUGCUCCCCUAGUGCUCAGGCAAGGUUUGCCACCUUAAGCUUAUUUUCUUAAAGAAACUGGUUCUAGAACCUUUUCCUUUCCUAAAUUAAGAGAACCUUGGACACCCCCUUGCAUGAGGUUAGGAUGAGAGGUAAGCUACUAAUGUAAUGUAGAUACUUCACGGCGCUCUGUGACCAGGUAGUAAAUGAUGCACUGGCUGGGUGAAUUGUUACUGUGGAAAACCAGCCACCUCUGUGAGUGAAACUCGUGGGUGCUAAGGUAGUUUCGGCUGCAUCCACGGCUUUGGAACUUGGAGAAUAUCUUAGGAUAAUUUCCAUCCUAUCUUAGGAUAGAAAGAUAGGUUACAAACUGUAAUAUUGGGUUCUUGUCUGGCCGCUUGUUUUUUAACGUUUUUUCUUUAAAAUCUGACAUCAUGAUACUUGAAUACAGUGCACUGUGAUCACAUUCACCCCCAGCGACCCUCAUUCAUGUGCCCUUCUUUCACUGACCUCCAUCCUUCCCAACUAGUCCUUCUUCUAUACUUUUGGUCCUUUCCCCCUCGCUUCAGCCUGUAAAACUUCUAUUCCAUGCAACAAAGACUAUGUUCCGAACCAAAUGUCGGACGGGCAUCUGGAGGCCACUUUUUGACGAGGCUCAAAAAUCCUAUUAGCCAAACGUGCGUGCCCAAAUUCCUUUUAUCCCACACCUUCCGCUUUUAUCCCACACCUUCCGUCUUAGGUCUUUGACAUUGUGUUUCUGCUCUGAUGGGAGGAUCUCCUGGGACUCGGAAGCUCAGGAACCACACAGCUCUGAGGUGGGACAAUGUCCCAAAAGAAGGGCACCCUGAGACAUGGGAGCUGAGGAACUAGAUAGCUCUAAGAGGAAGCCUCCUCAGCAGAGGCGAUGCAGCUACCAGGGCAUGGCGUCCUCAGCGGAGCUCAGGAGCCUCAGUCCCUCUCCUUCUCAUCGUUUCUUCUCUUCAUUGCUUCUUUUCUUCUUCACUUCUGACCAGGCAUAAGAAUCUCAUGAAAGAGAUUUAUUGGAUGGACCAGGGUGUGAAGGGAUGAAUCCAGGGAUGGCUGCUCUCUAUCCUAGGGAACAGACAACAGGGAAUUAGACAAAGUGGCAGUGCUUAUAUAGGAUCUCUUAGGGGGCGGGGCUUUCCAGGGCAGAGAUUUCCAGAGUGAUGAUUGGUGGGAUUUCAAGUCCUGAAUUUGGGGAGCUCAGGGAUUAGUGGAUUUUCUGCUCAAGGAUUGAUGUUUUGUCUGUGUGUCUGUGUGUGUGUGGGGGGGGGGAAGCUCAGGAAUUGGCGGCUUUUUUCACCCCCCCUUUCCCUGCAUCAGGCCCAUGGGUUAGAUGUUUUUCCCAGCCGCUGGUGGUUUUGACUGAGGCACCGUCUCUGUAGGUUGGAGAGGAGGUGCUGGCAUUAUGGACAUCUCCUGCAGUGGUGUUUGACCAAGGCUGUGGGCUGAGGCAGCAAAGAAGGUGUUGCCACCGUGGACAGCUCUUCAUGAAGGCAGUAGGCAGAAGUAGGAAAGGUGUAGCCAUGUUGAACAGUUCUUGAGGGCCAGCUCCUGCUGAGGCUGCUGAGGCAGGAAAGGCGUGCACCACUGUGAACACCUCCCGUGAUGGCUGCAAGGUGGUACCAUCAUUUUAACAGGAGUCCCCAUUUUGGACACCUCACAUGGUAUGGGUUGUGAGAAGAGGCCUGCCGCCAUUUUGACUGCUUUUGCGGUGCACAGCUCUGGGACUACUGAGCUGUCUUUAGCAGGUAGCUCCUCUUUGGUGUCCACUAUGCCCUCUCCUUGUUGGCUUAAGUCUCCAGCUGGCUUUUUUUUUUUUUAAUUCAGAGAUGAGCUCUUGUUUAAUGCAAGUGGCUACCCCUAUUGCCAACAUACUGAAUAAAAAUUUAUUGCUCU